rnacentral:snRNA from 1 species
GGUAUUUUUGACAUUAGUAU